rnacentral:rRNA from 1 species
UACAGAGGGUGCGAGCGUUGUCCGGAAUCACUGGGCGUAAAGGGCGCGUAGGUGGCGCGACAAGUCAGUGGUGAAAGCUCGACGCUCAACGUCGAGUCGGCCACUGAUACUGUCGGGCUCGAGCACUGUAGAGGCAGAUGGAAUCCCGGGUGUAGCGGUGGAAUGCGUAGAGAUCCGGAAGAACACCGGUGGCGAAGGCGGUCUGCUGGGCAGUUGCUGACACUGAGGCGCGACAGCGUGGGGAGCGAACAGG